CGUUUCUCUCCCUCCCUCUCUCUUUUCUGUACUGUGUUGGCCAACACACACUCUCUUUCCCUCUGUCUGUGUCCUUGCCUCUCCCUGUGCUUUCUCCCUUUAUAGGACACGGGUAGGUGUGGAUCCCCACAGGCUAGGUCUCGGGAGCCAGGAAGAAGUAGGAGGGGAUGAAAAUUAUGUGGGGUCGUGGGUGCGAGAGUGGAGGCAGGUAUUGUAAAAUAUCUAGCACGGUAGCAUGUUGGACAGUGAUGGCUCUUACAUAGGUGGUUUGCUGUUCUUGCAGAGGCCCGCUCAAGGCCAAUGGAGCCGCCCCAGACAGAGGAGAAACAUCUGGAGGAACCAGACCUGCACAAUCUAGAUGUUUUUCACUUGGCAGUGGAGCUAAGGAGUGCUCUCGUGAUAUUCGAGGAGCAGGUACGGAUGCCCAGUUAGCUACGGCUCGGUGUGUAACAAAAUGAGCUGUGGAUAUGUGGGAGACAAGGUCCCCAUUUUCAGCAUCAGCUCAUUUCUCUGUUCACAAGCGGUGUGUCCUCUGCAGAAAAGCUUGGAUCCAGGAGGAUGAUUCCAGCUGCGCUGGUACAGGAAUUGUCCAGGAACCCUACCCGGAGGAGAGACUCUCAGAAGUGAACCUGAUCAGCCUGAACAUUCUUCUAAGCAGACAUGAACAGUCCUCAGCUUUCUCCCUCCUGCAUAAAUGGCUAAAAAGAAGUCAUUUGCCAGUCUACUGCCCUCAUGUGAUGGAAAGCGAGCGAGAGCGAUGAGACCCGUGAGCAUGUUGAUGCCACGCAAAAGCCGUCCAUCUGGCAGCAGAAGAGCCAUCGCUGUCAGUGAGAUAAGUGUCUGUUUUGGGGAGGGCUCUGCUCAUGGCCCACGUUGAUGCUGGUAGGGAUGCCCCGUUAGCUAGGGCUGGGUUUGUAAGAAAAGGUUCCUGACUAGCUGUGGUUGUAAGAGAGACAAGGUUCCCAAUUUCAGGGGCUGAUGAUUCCUCUGGUCAGGAGCAGUGUGACCUACGCAGCAGAAGGUAGCAUCUAGAGGAUGACUCCAGGUGUCGAGUUACUUGCCUUCCUCCCAUGUUUCUCUGUCUUCUCUAUUGUGUUGGCCAACACUCUCGCUCUUUCAUUCUCCCUUCCUUGCCUUUCCUGGUGCCGUCUCCCUACGUAGGACGCGGGAAAAGGGUGCUAGGUGUGUAUCCGCACAGUCCACGUCUUUGGGACCCAUGAAAAAUUAGGAGGGUAUGAAAAUCAUGGAUAUUAGUGGGUGCCACAGUGGAGCAGUGCCUGUGGGUGUUGACUUGGUCUUUAAUCAUCGCCUGGGGCUGAUGUAGACCAAAUGAGAGAGGGAGGCAGAGAUUAGGGCAAGAUUUCACAUACCUUCAGAGCUUUGUGUAAUGCUGACUCAUCCUUGGUUUUUGCAACUGCACUGGCAGAGGAAUUGUCCAGGAGCGCUGUCUGGAGGAGAGACUCUCAAAAGUGGACCUGAACAUCCUUCUAAGCAGACAUGAACAGUCCUCAGCUUUCUGCCUCCUGCAUAACUGGCUUACCAAGGGAAAAGAAGUCACGUAUCAGUCUACUGUCCUCAUGCGAAGGAAAGCGAGACAGACGAGACCGCGAUCAUUGUCGAAAUCGGGCAUUAGCUGUACAUCUGGGAGCGGAGCAGUCAUGGCUGUCAGUGAGAUAAAUGUCUGGUUUGGUGAGGGAUCUGCUCAUGGCCCACCUGGCUCCAGUUUGCAGAGGAAUCAUCCAGGAGCCCUCGCCGGACGAGAAUAUGCAGAAGUGGACCUCAGCAGCCUGGACAUCCUUUUAAGGAGACAUGAAUAUUCCUCA